AGGAGUGGAGCCUGCGGCUUAAUUUGACUCAACACGGGAAACCUCACCAGGCCCGGACACCGGAAGGAUUGACAGAUUGAGAGCUCUUUCUUGAUUCGGUGGGUGGUGGUGCAUGGCCGUUCUUAGUUGGUGGAGCGAUUUGUCUGGUUAAUUCCGAUAACGAACGAGACUCUAGCCUGCUAACUAGGCGUAUUUCGACAUCCCAAAGGCCCGCCGGUUUGGGGUUUCGAUUCCUUUCCGCGCGCGGUUUUUACUGUCGGCGUACAAACAAUUCUUCUUAGAGGGACAGGCGGCUUCUAGCCGCACGAGAUUGAGCAAUAACAGGUCUGUGAUGCCCUUAGAUGUUCUGGGCCG
rnacentral:rRNA from 3 species